UCUCCUCCCAUUGGCUCCCGGCUUUCAAUAAAGGCCUAAUUCAUGGAAAUAGGAGCUUAGGGACUGUUCCAAGGUGACAUCAUUUUAACAAACGAACAAUAGGUCAAAUUUAUUAGCCGGGAUAAUGGGCGGCGGAUAUUAGCGCCCGAACCGCAGCCUCCCAAACCCGAAAUCUAACGAAGCUGCAAUUAGCAGACGCUCCCCGCUCCUGCGGGUCCGGGCCACUUCCCCGUGGCAGAGCGGGGUAGGCCAGGGUUCUUUGCUUCCGAAAUUGCCCUUUGCUGAGGGGGUUUUCGUUUUCUUCCAAAUUUUCUCAUCUGAACAAAAACCAAACCUUAUGAAUCCUUUCAAAUACAAAGGAGUUGUAAUCCCGGAACGACCCUGCAGAUCCGCGGAAGCGUCUUGGACACUUCACCGCCGCGGAAGCAACGAAAGGGGCGCACCCCAGGGCGUAAGCUUCGCGCUCUCUGCGCGCGGGGUGACGCGAGCACCGCAGCGUGCUCCGCGCGCUCAAGGACAUCAACCCGCGUGGGCAGAAUUCGCCCGGGCCUGGGCUUCGGCCCCGGCAUAGCGGCCACUUUGGAGACACUCCCUGGCUCCCGCCAGGCGGCGGACCGAGGCGUGACUCUCAGCCAGGCGCCACAUUACGAGCUGCCCUAUGAAGAGGCCUGUGUGGCAAGGAGCUGAGGGUCUCAGCCCGCCAAUCCGUGAGGAGCGGAGUCUGCUAACCACCACGAAGGACUGUAGGAGCGGAGCCUCCCCAGGAAGCCAUGUGACGAUGGCUUCUGAAAAACAACUGGAACUAGAUCUAAAUAUUAACUAUUUCAACUCACCAUGCUCAAAUAUGUCUUCCUUGGAAGAGACCACGAAUUCCUUUGAGGCUGGUUGAGUCCUUGCCACGUCUCUGGGACCGAGCCCAUGGACGUCCUCCUGACUUUCAUCUCCACUAAUCACAGAAAGGCUGAAAGAGGAGGGCCUCCCAGGCUGAGGGGGAAGCGCUUGACUGAAAACGCCCAGGGAGCACUUCCGGCGGCUGCAGGCAAGGCCCAGGGUCCCGUCCUCUUCAUCAUUUUGUGAAUACUCCUCAAAUAACUCCAGGCUUUGUUCCAAGUCCCAGUCCUCCUGGGUUAGGAUGGGUCUGCUGUGCUGAGGUGGGCACCAGAGGGCUUGCUUCAGUCUGAGAGAACUUUCUGGCACCAAGGACAAUGUCUGUCAUACCUGGUCACUGAGAGCCGCAAGCCCCUUCUCUGCUGGGUCUGUGGGCUUUUGUACAAACACAAGCUCUUAGGCUAAACACAGCUUCUAAUCAUUGGAAACAGCCUAAUUUGAGCACAAAGACAACAUUUUGCCAGUCAUGCGUUUAUCCUUCCAAGCCCGAACAGCAUGAUAUUUAAUUUCCAUCAUACAUUAAAACAGCUCACAUCAGAAACACACAUAAUUAAUAUGUAGUCAGACUAAUACUUAAAUACUAUAUAUCAGAGGCAUUAGACUGAAACCUCAGUGUCUUCCCGAACAAGACUGGGAAUGCACAAAACUACUUAUUUUUCCCUUUUAUAAUGAUGCAGUGACUCACACCAAAUAGAAAAUUAUUAGUUUUUCAUCCCAAACCAUGAAAUAUUGCCUCCAUCAGUAAAGUAUAAUAUUGUGAUGUCAUAAGCUUUUUCUAAACACUGAAUUUGCCCUUAUUCCUUCUCAAUCAUUUUAAAAGAACUGCUCUCUUUUAUAGAGCUUGGAUUUAAAUCACAAUAACACCGAGGGAAGACGAAUGGCAGUGCUAUUGAAUGUGGCUAAAAUUGGAUACUUCAGCACAGGACGAGCCCCAGGAGGGGCCUGGAUACUGACCACUGGUUCCGGCAGUCUUCAAAGACAAUGGUGUUCAUGAGGACAGACAUCAUCUAGAAGACAAUCACACGAAGACACUGAUGUCCUGGCGCACAGCCCUCCCACCCAGGCCUUCGAUGUCCCCACCGUCUAUCUGCACAUCUUCUCAACAGCCAUGAGGGCUCUUCCUGGACAAACAGCUGUGACUCCAGGAGCCCAUAAUGCUGCCUGUAGGAAUUCUCUGCAAAGCCUUCAAUCUCCCUGAGGAAGAGCUUCUAUCACCAAAAGCUUUGGGGAGAACCUUCUGGGUGGGCAGAAGUCAGAGGCAACAGAGCUCAGAAGAUCAGUCCUGCCUCUCAGCCCUGACAGGCUUUCCUCUAUCUGUGUCACCAGUCAAAACCCAGCUGGUCUUCUUCUCCACCUCUUAUUUCACCAAAGAGGUCAAGUUAUGGAGGAGUGGGACACAGUCCAUGUAACCUUGGAAUGUCCUGUUUCCUGCUGGCUCAGGCUGUGAAAGGCUUCUCAUCAGCCUUCAUUGACUCCCUCUCUCCCACCCUCCCUCCCUCCCGUGUGCACAUACUCAUCCAUUCUCUUAAAUUCAAAGUCUACAAGACACCUAGGGGAGGUAAGAGAACACGGGCAUCUACUACAGCCUCUGCCCUCGAGGAGCUAGAAGCUUCCUGGAACAGACCACCCAGGAGGACAAUGCAGGAACCAGGGCUAGUGGGCAGUGCUGUGUGCAUGCACACAGUGUGCAUGCAGUGGAGGGCGGGAGCUCCUGGAUCCUGGAGGGGAGGUCAGGAAAGACUCCACAGAGGCGGCCAUGUUUCAGGAGUUCAUCAGAAAUGUGUUCUAUGCAGAGACUGCAGCAGAGGUGAUGGAAUGAACACAGUGGGUUCUGCAAUGGUCAGGAACUCAGUGUGACAGGAGAGAAGUGAGGUGAACCCGAACAAGACCCCAGGGCCAGGUGAGAAGUCUGUGCUGGAGAAUCUGGACUUCAUCCUGAUGGCAGUGGGAGCCAGUGGUGAGUUUGCAGCAAGAGAGAGACCAUGCUCAGAUGGGCACGUAGGAAACAUCCCUCUGGGGACAUGUGGAACAUGUACUGUGCAGGUGACAUUAACGGAGGGAGGCCAGGGAUGAAGCUGCUGCAAAUUCAGGCACGUGGUGGUGACGCAAGCUGCAGUCAUCCUCGUGGAGCUGAUGAUACAAUUUCUGCCCCUUGGACUCCGUCCCUCCCACCUCUAGCACUUGUUUUCACAGCUUCAGAGCUCCUGUCCUCAAGGAGGGUGAGGAAAUGGCAAUUAUGUGGCAAAGACAGCCUCCAACAGCAUCCCUGAUUGGGCUUUGGUGACAUGGGUUUCUUCCUCUGGCAUAUUUACCAUCCAAUGUACCCUGUGAUCUCAGGCAAGUUACUGAACCUCUCUCUGUGUAUGUCUCAGUUUCAUUAGCGACAAAGAGGAAAAUACUCAUCCAGCACAAGGAAGCUCCGAGAAUCAAAUGAGAUGGUGGAUAUAAAAAGUGCUGCGAGGAGUAGCAAGCGCUAUAAACAUUUAAGGUGUAUAAUAACAGCAGCAACGGGCUUCUUUGUAGCUCUAUAAACAUCUGCCAUUGCAUAUAUCAUCAUCAUCAUAACACUUAAGCUGGUUGCAAAUGAAAUCUGCCAAUUCCAUAUUUACUGUAUGUCCAGUCUCUCUGGGGAGCGGCUAGGUCGUAAGCGCGGCAUGUUGAACAUCAUUUGCAGAUCAUGUGUUUCUGUAUACAACCUAACAAGCCACCCAAAGUCACAGCCACAAAUUAAAUUGACAAGCAAAACUAACAGAUCCACGGAGACAGUCUAAAAUAUUAUGGGCUUCACAAUGUGAAGGCAGAAUGGAUAUUUUAAUGGAAAAGAUUAAAGUUAGAGGUACCGACUUCUCCAGUAACUGACAAAGCAUCCUGAAGUGAUGUGCCAAUUACUUUAUACGGUUCUCCCGUGGAUUCAUUUGUCUGAAUGCAUGUAUUUAUGUCCGUAAUAAGUAAGGGGAUGUUUGAAUAAAAUACUUUUCUAAAAAUAAAGUUUGCUAAAACAGA